GCCAGGAUGGCAGAUUGGCUAUGCGACCGCCUGCAGAGCGGUGAAGGAGGGUUCAAUUCCCUCUCCUGGCU
rnacentral:tRNA from 1 species